GGGUGCGAUCAUACCAGUGCUAAUGCAACAAAUCUCAUUAGAACUCUGCAGUUAAGUUCUCUUAGGCUAGAGUAGUACUAGGAUGGGUGACCUCCCGAGAAGUCCUAGUGUUGCACUCU
rnacentral:rRNA from 1 species